AUUGAACGCUGGCGGCAGGCCUAACACAUGCAAGUCGAACGAGUGGCGGACGGGUGAGUAAUGUCUGGGAAACUGCCCGAUGGAGGGGGGUAACUACUGGAAACGGUAGCUAAUACCGCAUACCAUCGGAUGUGCCCAGAUGGGAUUGGCUAGUAGGGGGGGUAACGGCUCACCUAGGCGACGAUCCCUAGCUGGUCUGAGAGGAUGACCAGCGAAACUGGAACGGAGACACGGUCCAGACUCCGAGGGGAGGCAGCAGGGGGGAAUAUUGCACAAGGGGGGCAAGCCUGAGGCAGCCAUGCGGCGUGUAGGAAGAAGGCCUUCGGGUUGUAAAGUACUUUCAGCGAGGAGGCGUUACUCGCAGAAGAAGCACCGGCUAACUCCGUGCCAGCCGCCGCGGUAAUUC
rnacentral:rRNA from 1 species